AAGCUAACGCCAUAUUGUUCUUUCUGUUCGCCUAUGUCUACUACGUCAUUCGUCUGUCUUACUACGUCACUAAUUUUACCGUAGCUAAAACGAUACACAAUAUAUUUAUCUACCAAAAUUAACAUACUCUCUAACUAAACUAGUACAUAAUAUUUCCUCCCCCAUUAAAAAAAAUGUCUACCAAUUUUUUUUUAAAACUACAGUCACAUGUCUUUACAAUAGCAAAUAGCAUGGCAUGGAGAAAUAAAUAAUAAAAAAAACAAAAAACAAAUACAAUAAAUAAGGGCAUGGACAAAACAGCACAUACAUUCUCUUGACAUCUCAGUAACUUCACUGGUAUCUCAAAAAGUUCAUUCACUUGCACUGAGGUAAGUUAAAUAAUAUUUCACCAAAGUGAGACCAUAGCCAUGUCAUGAAAUAAGUCCUUUAGUAUCCUACAAGGCAAGCUCAGUACCACAUUAUCAAAGAAAUAACUAUAGUAAUGUCAAUGUGAAACAUAAACUCACUACUUAAAAAAGUCCAUAAAGUCUGACACACAAUUCAAAAUGAACCUUUCUGUAAUAACAGUCCAUAAGAAGGAAAUAUUACGUUGACGAUUCACAAUGUAGUUACCACAAUAUACCACGUACAAGGUUAAGUUCAUUACGUGCCCGUCACAAUAACGUUGUUUCCGAUGCAAAUUACAAUUUCAAUGUUCAUUGCCAUCGGCAUGCAUCACUGAAGAGAAUUACCACUUCAUAGCAAGUUUCCUAGUAUGGAUACAAACAACAAAACAUUCGUUAACAACUUAUGACAA